rnacentral:rRNA from 1 species
UACGGAGGAUGCGAGCGUUAUCCGGAUUUAUUGGGUUUAAAGGGUGCGUAGGCGGACGCUUAAGUCAGCGGUAAAAUUGCGGGGCUCAACCUCGUCGAGCCGUUGAAACUGGGUGCCUUGAGUGGGCGAGAAGUACGCGGAAUGCGUGGUGUAGCGGUGAAAUGCAUAGAUAUCACGCAGGACUCCGAUUGCGAAGGCAGCAUACCGGCGCCCUACUGACGCUGAGGCACGAAAGCGUGGGUAUCGAACAGG